CAGGCUUCCUCAAACUCAGCCCUCCAAAUGUUUUGAGAUCAUGGGAGUUGUAGGCCAAAAACAUCUGGAGGGCUGAGUUUGAGGAAGCCUG